CCGGAUAUUUCUUCCAAAUUUGAGACCGACCGCAUCCACCACCUGAUAACGGGGUUUCGGAUUUCCUCCGCCCUAUCAUUCGCCACUGCAGCGAACCAGCGCGGCGAACGUUCUCCCCAGUGAGUAUUUUUUCUUGUUUUUUUCAAGUAAUCAGUCAAUGAAUAUCAAUUAAUUGGGUUUGACACAAAAUCACAAUUGCAUAUGAUUUUUACUGAAUUGUUCAAUUAUUUAAACUUUAUGGGCAUUUUAAUUUUAAUUUCGAUUUCUAUUUAAUUUGUUGUAUGAAUCCGAAGUCUCCAUAUUAUAGGUGUAAUCCUUUGUCCCUCUGAUUUUGCUAUAUUUCUGGAAGAGUUUUGGUGGAGCAAAAUCGAAUGUAAAGAGGGAGUAUUUAUAUGGAUGAUUUGCACUUUGCAGUAUCCGUUCAGAUAUUCAGCGGUUAUAUUUUGGUUGAGAAAUGCCGGUGUUAUGGUGUAUGAUGAGAAUUGCCAAAGUAAUCCGAAUCAGGUCUUGUUGCUUUUUUUUUUUGCAUGUGCAAAACCUUGAGUUUUCCAGCUAUGUUUAUGCACCUGCAGCCGACUUUUCAACCAAUUCCAAUUCAAUUUCAUUAUCAUCCACUCUUCAACAGUACAUUAAUUCUGAUUUACCUUCACUGGGCUUUAAGCUUCAUAGCCAUAUCUUGAAAGUCGGUUAUCAAUUGGAUCGAAACCUUACAAUCAAACUCCUCAUACUUUAUUUGAAAUCUGGCCUUAUAAAUUCUGCACAACGGUUGUUUGACGAAAUGUCAGAUCCAUCUUUGUCUGCUUAUAACUAUUUGUUUAAUGCUUAUGUAAAGCAUGGAAAAACUGCCCAAAUAUUUGAUUUGGUUCGUCAGAUGCGCCAUUUGCCUGACAGCUUCACACAUUCAUUGAUCUUAAAAGCGUGGGCUUCUAUACCUGCUCCCUUAUUUUUCGUCUGUGACAUAGGAAGACAGGUGCAUGCUCAGAUAUUAAAAUCUGAAGGUUUAGUGGAUGUUAUUCUUUCUGCUGCCUUGAUUGAUACAUAUGUUAAAUCUGAAAGGCUUCCUUAUGCUAGGGCUGUUUUUGAUUCUCUGUUGGUACAAAAUGCCAUAUGUUCGACCUCGUUAAUUUGUGGUUAUUUAAAUAGUGGGUAUUUGGAAGAUGCUGAGUUACUAUUCAAAGAGAUAGCUGAGAAAGAUGAUGUAGUUUUUAAUGCUAUGAUUGAAGGGUAUAGUAAAUCAAUUUCCACUGCGAAGAAGUCGCUUGAAAUUUUUAUUGAGAUGCAACGACAAAAUCAUUUGCCUACAAUUUCCACUUUUUCGAGUCUUAUUGGAGCAUGUUCAUUGUUGACAUCAGUUGAACUUGGUCAACAAGUACAGAGUCACUUGAUGAAAACCAAAUAUUUUACAGAUGUGAAGAUCGGGAGUGCUCUAAUAGAUAUGUACUCAAAAUGUGGGAGAAUUGGUGAUGCUCGUCGAAUAUUUGAUUAUAUGCCUGAAAAGAACAUAUUUUCUUGGACUUCCAUGAUUGAUGGGUAUGGAAAAAAUGGCAAACCCAUUGAAGUGAUUAAAUUGUUUACUAAAUUGCAAGUGGAAACUCGCAUUAAACCAAAUUAUGUUACGUUCUUGUGUGCUAUAUCGUCAUGUGCGCAUGCUGGAUUUGUUGGCAAAGGUUGGGAAAUCUUUGGUAGCAUGGAGAGGGAUUAUUCAUUAAAGCCUCGGAUGGAACACUAUGCGUGUAUGGUUGAUCUCUUAGGACGCUCUGGAAAUGUAAAGCAAGCUUGGGAAUUUGUAAUGAGCAUGCCGGAAAAACCUAAUUCUGAUGUCUGGGCUGCUUUGCUUAGUUCAUGUAGAUUGCAUGGUGAAACAGAGAUGGCAAGUUUGGCGGCAAAGGAACUUUUUCAGUUGUGUGCUAAUAGGCGACCUGGUUCAUACAUAGCCCUAUCAGAUUCUUUGGCUGCUGCUGGAAGGUGGGAUUCCGUAAAUGAAGUUAGGAAACGGAUGAAGCAGAGAGGAAUAUCAAAAGAUACGGGCCUCAGUUGGACAGGAACCCAUGGCCUGAAACAGUUUCAUGCUGGUCUGAGCUGAAGGUGAAUUUGAUGAAAUGGAUUCCGACAUCAUACUAAGUGAAAGGAAAAUGUAUAUUGGUUCAAAACUCCGCCCCAGAAUGUCUGCAUCUGAGCAUAUAUGCUUGGCAACAAAACAGACAGGUUCAUAAUUUUCCUCAUCUCGCCCUUCUGUUCUGUUUGUACUGGCAUAGAGCUUAAAAACCUAUUCUCAUUCUGUACAAUAAAAAUUGCAAAACUAAAAGCAGAGAGCAGAAGGUGAAUAAGAUUUUUUUUAUGGGUAACAUAGUCACUAAACUCCGCAUAGGCGGGAGCCUUAGCCACCGUAGUCCAAAAACAAGGCCAUCCCAUCGGGCGUGUUGUAAAGGUUUUCAAAAACAAUCGAAUCAAUAUUUCCCGCAUUGUAAAGGUGUACAAAACUGCAUUUUAGGCCGUUUUGAGGAAUAUCUCAUGCUUUCAGUCGAUAUUUGGUGUUACGGUGACUGCAUCACUCCCUUUAACACAUCGCCUUGUCGUUACUGCGAUCGCGAUCUUUACUGCACUUUUGCACUAUGGGAGCUACCUGCAUUAGGGUAAUUGUAUGUUGUUAUUGUUGUUGUGUGAGAUGCUGUUUGUAUGCUUCAGCAAACAGCUCUUGUAUACAUUAUCCAGAAAGGAGAGACAAGGAGCCGGGUGUUCCGUGCAUCAGCUACAAGAUACCAUCUAGCUGCUGGAUCUAAUGUACACAUGAACCAGGUUUCAUAUACAGAAGUGUAUGGAAGGAAGUAUUCUAGUUGGUGUGAUUUCACAUGCAAGCAGCAAGCUGUCGACACACCUUGACUGCCGGAGAUUGUUGGGAAACAGUAAAUACAAUCUGAUAUCUCAUUCAUUCAAAUUAAAUGCUGGAAAUUGGUCAACUAGUCGACUUCCACACUAAGAUAGGAAUAAAUACUAGUGCCUUGACACCAGAUCACAUGUCCAAGCAGUGCAGAUUCCAGUAUUCAAGUAUGCCAGAAUUCUACUCCUCCAAUGUUCAAGUAAAAAGAUCUUCACAGUUUUUCCGCUCCAACUUCACACAAGCAGCAUGCAGGAGGAGGUAUCAAUUGAUAAUCUGUCGAUGUUCAGUGCUAAUAAACAACACCUAAAGACAACAUUCUAUACUGCUAAUUGAAUAUGUACGUUCCCCAUCUACUUUCUCCAUGUGGUAUAGAAUUAAAAUUGUCCACUUGGGCUCUGCUCUUCACCUAAUACUUGCUGAAUUGAACUUGGAUUUCAUGAUUUAAACUGCUUUUACUCAUUUAAACUAUUACUAUGACAUUCUAUUACCCCAUAGAACUAAAUGGGUCAUGGCGGAAUGGUUGGAAAUGGGGUAACAACAUGGUGAUGCGUUACAAGACUAAUGUGCUUAUCGUAACCAUAAGUAUCGACCAAAUCAUGAAAUAUCUCUUGAAAUGAGGCCGAAAGCAUGACAUAUUGGUUUUUCUAAAAAAUCUUUAUUAAUUUUUUUGAUGUAGUUUGACACGGUCUUGUUUUUUUUAUGAUAUCCAUAACAGUGACUCAAAACAUUUAACUUAAUAGCUAACAAAUCAACUAAUAAUUUCAUCUUGUUAAACUAGCCUUCUACUCCAACCAACAAUUAUUUGCUAAAUGGACCGAAAUCAUAUUUUGGACUACAUUUCAUACCUAACCAAGCACUCAAUAAGACUAUAUUUAAAAGUAUGCAUAUGCCGCCAAAUAUAAUUUUAUAAUGGAUAUUCAUAAGCCAACCACUACACUAUCUAUAGUAGUUAAUCCAACUUGUAUAAUCUUGUAUUUUUGAAACAUGUUUUUAUUUCAAAUAAUAAAAAGAAACAUUUUUCAAGAAAGUUUAUUAAGAUGUAAAAGAAAAUAUUAGAAAAUUAAAUCAAGGUAAACUAAAACUAAUUAAUAAAACAGACCGAAUAUUAAGAUCUUAAUAUAUCAAAUUUACUUGUUUAAAAAUAAUAAAAUUUUUUGACAAUAAUAGGUUGACUUAGUGAUUGAAGGUUUUUCUUCAAUUGUUCAUGUGAAGGGGUUCAAUCAUCACUACUUACCGUGACAUCAAUUUCCUGUCCCUAUCUAUCUUUAAAAAAAAUUCCUCAACUCCCUUGCCUGUACGAGAUUAUCCUUGCCUUACCCCAGAUAAAAAAAACUAUAGAGGAUUUUUAGGGUGAAUUAUCACCAUGAAUUUUCUCUAUAUAAGGUGAGGAGGAGAGGGUGCAUGUUAGUAAUUCUAUCACACAACUAAACACAAACAUACUCGUAAAAACUAACAGUUAGACAGAGCAAGUGAGAAAAAAGAUGGUAGUGAAGAAUGGAGGCAUUAAUUUGGUGCUCAGUCUUGGUUUUCUUAUGCUAAUAUUAACCAAACCUGAAAUAACCAUGGCUGCCCGCCAGCCACACCUUCCCUUCUCAAACAUUUUGCUUAAUGGGAUUGCCAAUUUCAAACCCAAACCUUUCAGUUUUCCUGACUGUCAUCCGUGCAUCAAUGACUGGACUUUAUGCUGCGGUUCAUGCAUUUGCUAUAUGUUAUCAGUCGGAAUCCUUGUUUGCGACAAAGAUAUCUGUGAUUGAUUCUUGAACUUGUUUGUUCAAGAUUUCUAUUAAUGAAUAAAGUUGUCAAACCAUGAAAGUUUCUACUGUUUUUUAUAUACUUUUCAAAUUUAUGAAUCUUUUGUGAUUUGCUAUGAAUAUAGAUGUAUGAACUAUGAAUUAAGAGGUCUUUUUGGUGGCCUUGUGAUCUAA